AUACACAUCUGCCAGCCCGCGUAACUCCUGAGCAUCGCGUAGCGGCGGACGGGUGAGUAAUGCCUAGGAAUCUGCCUGGUAGUGGGGGAUAACGUCCGGAAACGGGCGCUAAUACCGCAUACUAUCAGAUGAGCCUAGGUCGGAUUAGCUAGUUGGUGGGGUAGAGGCCUACCAAGGCGACGAUCCGUAACUGGUCUGAGAGGAUGAUCAGUCACAAUGGAACGGAUAAACGGUCCAGACUCCUACGGGAGGCAGCAGUGGGGAAUAUUGGACAAUGGGCGAAAUGCUGAUCCAGCCAUGCCGCGGGUGUGAAGAAGGUCUUCGGAUUGUAAAGCACUUUAAGUUGGGAGGCGUUACCAACAGAAUAAGCACCGGCUAACUUCGUGCCAGCAGCCGCGGUAAUUC
rnacentral:rRNA from 1 species